AUCCGAGUGGUUCCCGCUGAGGGAAUCUUUUGUCGGCUCUAAAAAGGCCGGCGAAUAAGGGGAGGGCAAGCUCUGGUGUCAGCCGCCGCGGUAAUACCAGCUCCUCGAGUGGUCGGGGCGAUUAUUGGGCCUAAAGCAUCCGUAGCCGGUUCUGUAGGUCCUCUGUUAAAUCCAACGGCUUAACCGUUGGCCCGCAGAGGAUACCGCAGGACUAGGAGGCGGGAGAGGCAGACGGUACUCUACGUGUAGGGGUAAAAUCCUUUGAUCCGUAGAAGACCACCAGUGGCGAAGGCGGUCUGCCAGAACGCGCUCGACGGUGAGGGAUGAAAGCUGGGGGAGCGAACCGGAUUAGAUACCCGGGUAGUCCCAGCCGUAAACGAUGCGAGCUAGAUGAUUCGGUCGCAAAUCGCGAUCGAAGUGUCGCAGGGAAGCCGUUAAGCUCGCCGCCUGGGGAGUACGGUCGCAAGACUGAAUACUUAUAGGAAUUGGCGGG
rnacentral:rRNA from 1 species